CCAAUAAGGAUAGCGCCUGAUCUGGCAACAGAUGACGAGGAAAGAGCUUAUCGAAAUUUUCGGCGGAUGGCUCUAGGGACUGCACUCUACAAGCAAACACAAAUCACAUUGAAAAAUGUCCACAAACCGUUUGCCGCGCAGAUA
rnacentral:ncRNA from 2 species